rnacentral:rRNA from 1 species
AGCGUAGGCGGGUGUUUAAGUUAGGUGUUUAAUCCUGGGGCCCAACCCCCAGUCGUGCACCUAAAACUGGACAUCUUGAAUAGUGGAGAGGUCAGUGGAAUUGGGGGUGUAGCGGUGGAAUGCGUAGAGAUCCCCAAGAACACCAGUUGCGAAGGCGGCUGACUGGGCACAUAUUGACGCUGAGGCUCGAAAGCAUGGGGAGCAAACA